GGGCUUGUAGCUCAGUUUGGCUGGAGCGUUCGGCUGAUAACCGAAAGGUCGAGAGUUCAAAUCUCUCCAGGCCCACCA
rnacentral:tRNA from 4 species